rnacentral:misc_RNA from 1 species
ACGAGUUUUUGAAACGGGUUGUUGCUGGCUUCAAAACAGGAGCAUGUGCACGCCUGACUCAAUCCACUCUCAAACCCCUGUGCACUUAUUGUAGGCUUGGUGAUUGAAGAGCUCGCAAGAGCUUGGAUAGAGCCUGGUCUAUGCUUUUACAAACGCUUCAGUUUAAGAAUGUAACUCGCGUAUAACGCAAUAAAUA